rnacentral:misc_RNA from 1 species
CAAAUCUAAGGCUCUGCCUUGCGUUGGAACGAUCCGUCUGCGGAUGCUCCAAAACUCUUCGGGCGCCUUCCUGUCCCUGGCAGCGUAGCAAGUCUUUUCGCUGCCCGGGUCCUGCGAAGGCAGCCGGUCCACACGA